GAUGAACGCUAGCGGCAGGCUUAACACAUGCAAGUCGAGGGGUAUAGGGAGCUUGCUUCCUAGAGACCGGCGCACGGGUGCGUAACGCGUAUGCAAUCUACCUUUCACAGAGGGAUAGCCCAGAGAAAUUUGGAUUAAUACCUCAUAGUAUAGCAGUUUCGCAUGAAACCACUAUUAAAGUUCCAACGGUGAAAGAUGAGCAUGCGUCCCAUUAGCUAGAUGGUAAGGUAACGGCUUACCAUGGCUACGAUAGGUAGGGGUCCUGAGAGGGAGAUCCCCCANACUGGUACUGAGACACGGACCAGACUCCUACGGGAGGCAGCAGUGAGGAAUAUUGGACAAUGGGCGCAAGCCUGAUCCAGCCAUGCCGCGUGCAGGAAGAAGCAUCUAUGGUGUGUAAACUGCUUUGUACGGAAGAACACUCCUACGUGUAGGAGCUUGACGGUACCGUAAGAAUAAGGAU
rnacentral:rRNA from 1 species